UAAUAAUUAGUUUAUGUUUCCAUGCGAUGGAAAAGGUUGAGAACUGCUGGCCUAGAUGCAUGCACAUUUCCACAUGUGCGUAGUGAAUAGGCAUAUGGCCACUGUAUGGCAAGGGCCAUUGUAAGCCACCGCUGAAACAUAUGCAAGACAGAUGGGCACUAAAUCCACAAGAUAAUGGAGAAUUGUAAUGAAUUUCAUGGGCAUCACGUUUUUAUGUUCCUGUAAACUUAUGAAAGCCAUGAAAUUAAACGACCGCCUCACAACAGCACCAGAGUGACUAAUUUAAUUGGGGGGAGGAGAAGGGAGGGGGAAGCCCUCUGGAAAAACCAAUUGGUAAAUCAAAACUAAAAACUGAGAAUGAUAUCCUCGAGUUUUAACAUUUGCUCACAGACCCCUUUGGCUAUAGGAGUUUAUUAUACAGGAUUCUCUCUUGUUUUACAAAAGGAUGUGAUGUCUCCAAUCACACGGGGCAGGUCCCAGGGCCCACCUGGGAUGACAAUUCAAUCUCAGGAGAGCCACUGGGCUGCAAAGGGGGCCCUUCCAGGACAUGACUGCAUUUAAUGCUUUCUUAUUCUCACAUGAGCUUGAUGACUGGAUAAAGGAGGAGGUGAACAACGUUUCCUUCAUGGACAAAAGAAAAUGUGACCAUCAGGGCAUUUGCACAUCGAAUGACCUUCCUCCUCACUUCCCUGAACAUCGCUCGUUGGCUAGGAGAGCAAGAAUGUCUUUUUUCCUAGAUAUUUGGGCUGAAUUAAAAAAAAAACAAAAUUAAAAACGUCCAAUCUCCUCCCAAGAGGAGCAGAGCUCUUCUUCGUCUUGGGUUUGCUGACCAGCUUCGCACACCUGUUUACCUAACACGCGCUAAAAAAGCCAAACUCAGAGGGAAGAACUGCACUGGGAACACUCAUCCAACCACGCAGGAAACCUCACCCAACCACGCAGAGUGCGCUCUGACUCCUGGUGCUACACUUGUGGGCUCGGUUUCAGCAUAUUCUCACAGUCCAGGAACUGGAAGUCACACUUGUAUCUUAAAAGACGGGGAAACUGGGCCAGCGAAUACUUACUUACUUUGGAUCUGUAUUAUUGGAUUGCCCCAAAAAUCUUUAGGAAAAAAAAUGAGCUCCUUUACUUCUAUUUUUGCUCAAAGCAGUCCAAAGAAAACAAGUGUUGGUUCCCUCCGGUCUGUGAGCUCAGCUCAGUGUUGAACCAACUCCAGGGAAGUCACAGUGAGAGCUGGCACCAGACCUGGGAUAGAGCAGUGCAUCCACCUGCACUGCUGACUGCAGAGGCCUCAUUUCCCCGUUCUGCUCCGGGACAGGGACCCUCCAGGGGAGGGCACUUCUCUGCUCUCUUUCUUUAUUUUCCUGUCUGCGUACGUUCCUGCUGGAGGAAAGGGGCCGCUGAAACUUCCAAUCCCAAGAGUGGCAUUCAAGGCCUUGGAAACUUGCAGUUGCACCGUGUGUUGCUCUGGACGCCUCUACUCAAGCUAAGAGGAGCUGCCCGUGGCCCCAUGGCGGGCGGGUUAGAUCUAGGGCUGCAACACCUUCUCCCUGCAGCGCCUGCAUCUGGAUUAAAAUGCAGCGACCAGCUUUUGGCCCACGUGGACUGCACAGAGCACAUGCGUGGGUAGGCUCUAUGGAUCGGUGUUGAGUUAAAAAGCAGUUUCUGGAACCUUGCAGAUAAAUUAAUUUUCUGGUUAAUUUAUAGCGAGUACAUUUUUUCCCCUUGAAAUUGUGCCAAGCCCAGAAUAGACAGACAACAACAUUUGAGUCAAUUAUACUAUAUUUUGAAUUUUUCCCCCACAGGUUUUCUCGGUCUACUGCAUAAAGUUUUCUCUGAUACAGUAAAACAUUUUAAUUACAAUAGGUUACAAUUCUGUAGU